GCCCUGUAAGUCCGGCCCCUGACAGUGACUCAGACACAUCAGGCAGCUUCUCUGUCCCCCCAACUCUUUCUUCUCUGGGCAAAACAGCCCUCCAUGCUUCAGUCACAGCUUGUAGGACAUCAUUGAGAUGCUGACAAGAAGCGGCUCUGCGGCCCUCCCUGGUGGCCAGAGUGGCUGGCCUCAAUUAGUCUGCAGGGCUUAACCCGUGGUCACCUUGCAGGGAGGAAAUAAGGGCCCCUCAAGACUCUGAAAGGUUGGUUCUUGCCAUCAGCACAAAUGCCAAGGGUGCGUUGAGGAGUUGCGGCUGGUGCCUCCCUGCAUCCUGCCUCCUGUGGAAGGACCGGCUCUAUACAGCUAACUGGGACACGGGAGGCCCUCCUCCUGCGCAUCCUUGGGAGGCAGAGCAGAUGAGGACUCAGACUGUGGGAAGCCAUGGAUGUCACCCAGCCAUCGCUUUUCUCCGCGAGGUGAGCUGUGCCCCUUCUUUCUGCCCAAGUUGAUUGACAGCUGGUA
rnacentral:lncRNA from 1 species